rnacentral:rRNA from 1 species
GACGAACGCUGGCGGCGUGCUUAACACAUGCAAGUCGAACGGAAAGGCCCUGCUUUUGUGGGGUGCUCGAGUGGCGAACGGGUGAGUAACACGUGAGUAACCUGCCCUUGACUUUGGGAUAACUUCAGGAAACUGGGGCUAAUACCGGAUAGGAGCUCCUGCUGCAUGGUGGGGGUUGGAAAGUUUCGGCGGUUGGGGAUGGACUCGCGGCUUAUCAGCUUGUUGGUGGGGUAGUGGCUUACCAAGGCUUUGACGGGUAGCCGGCCUGAGAGGGUGACCGGCCACAUUGGGACUGAGGUACGGCGCAGAGUCCUAUGGGAGGCAGCAGUGGGGAAUAUUGCACAAUGGGCGGAAGCCUGAUGCAGCAACGCCGCGUGCGUGAUGACGGCCUUCGGGUUGUAAACCGCUUUCGCCUGUGACGAAGCGGGAGUGACGGUAAUGGGUAAAGAAGCACCGGCUAACUACGUG